rnacentral:rRNA from 1 species
CAAUAGCGUAUAUUAAAGUUGUUGCGGUUAAAAAGCUCGUAGUUGGAUUUCUGCUGAGGACGAUCGGUCCGCCCACUGGGUGAGUAUCUGGCUCGGCCUUGGCAUCUUCUUGGAGAACGUUGCUGCACUUGACUGUGUGGUGCGGUAUCCAGGACUUUUACUUUGAGGAAAUUAGAGUGUUUCAAGCAGGCGCACGCCUUGAAUACAUUAGCAUGGAAUAAUAAGAUAGGACCUUAGUUCUAUUUUGUUGGUUUCUAGAGCUGAGGUAAUGAUUAAUAGGGAUAGUUGGGGGCAUUCGUAUUUAACUGUCAGAGGUGAAAUUCUUGGAUUCGUUAAAGACGGACUACUGCGAAAGCAUUUGCCAAGGAUGUUUUCAUUGA